AAGCACCAAUAAAAUCAGGAAUGCAUCAAAGGCAAGAAAUUCAAAGUGCAGCUCGAUGUGACCGUGAGAGAGCUGCACUCAAAGGCAGUGUUCACAGACACUGGAAGAUGAUCCUGGAAAGAAUCUGGCCCAUCCUGUUCAAAGUGGGGGUGAACUUCAUAAAGAACAUCAAAAUAUUAUGCUGGCCUUGAAGGAAGAGAGAAAAGUCAUAAAGAACUCCCUGGGAGUCCCAGGUGCAGACUGAAUGAGACCCUGGCAGUGAGGAUCACGUAGACCCACUGAGGAUGUACAGUUUGCUUGUACCUUCAAGAUGAGGUCUGAGAGAUACCAUAAGAGAUAAAUUGCAUGCCCCCACCUUUAGCGGGUUGUGAAUUAAAUGUAAUGGGUUGCAGCCAGAACUUGAAGAUUAACUAGGAUCAAAUAGAAUAAAAACAUCACAGU